CAAGGAUCGUAUUACUUUGUUAGACACUUAUGACAUUUCAAUUGUGCCCUUCCACCAGAAACUGUCAUUGUUGGUGAUCAUUUCUUUAAGUUCCGAUACACCAACGAGACUGAUAAUGCUUUUGCUGCUGUUUCCUUGGUAUUUGCAGUGGACAUGAAUAAACCUCCUGGUAACUUCAAAAGCUACACUUGCGGGUAUAGGAGAAACUCAAUUUCAUGCUGUAGUGUCAAGUGGAUUGUCACCUGUAGGCCCCAUAUACACGACAACAUCAGUUAUUGAGAACAACAAUGCACCUUUCAUCGCUGCAAGAAGAGAAGGGUCGCAUGAGAAUAUUGAUGGUCAAAUUGUGUUGAAUCAAGUUUAUGAUGAACGCCCAACGGUUGAAUGACUUGGGUGAAGAAUCAGCCAGACUUCCUCUCUUCCUCUCUGGAGGUAGGCAGAACCGCGGUUCGUAUGGAAUAACUAUAUGUUGGAGCUUCUUAUAGAUAAUUAACAAGAAGCUGGAUGCACACAUUCUUCCUGUUAUUCAAGGAAGUAUCUUUUAAUUUUUUUAUCAGAAAUAUUUUUUUAAUAUAAAGAGGUGUUUAUUUCAUUUUUUUUAACUUUCUAACAGCUUUUCAAAGCUUUGAAGUAGCAAUAGGCAAAGAUAUUAUAGAUGUCACCUUGAUAGCAAGGAGGAGAUGAAGUUGAGGGAGAAGAUGAGAAAGAGACGAUGCAGUCUUUUAAUUCACAAAUCCCAGAAAAAGCCCAAAACACAUUUAUUUUGUAUUGGUAGAGUACACAUCAUCACUAAAUCAACUAUUUAGAUUACUUUACACUGCUAUGGUUUAUGAUAAUUUGAAAUUAUAUGUACAUGCCACCUCUAUUACAAUAUAUGACUUUCUGUAUGCAACUUUAAGAUUUGCUAGAGCAAGUAAUAAUUUGAGAUGGCGUUGAGAUAAA